CACCAACAAAUCAUGAUCUUUUGGGGGCCUGUGGUGGGCUUGUGGAUUACCCAAGUUGUUGCAGUUGGGCCAGUUUAUUUGGGCUUAUUUUAGGAUUCGGAUUUCGGGACUUGACCCGAUUUCGAAAAAGGCUCGGGAUUUGACCCGGGUUGUUUCAUAUGGUAUCAGAGCGAGGUUCUCGAAAGCUUGAUUCGUCAAGUUGCCGGAGGUGGGGACACGAAGGCUGGUGGUAUUAUCCCGCAAUGGACAGAGAUCCGGAGGCGGGGACACGAAGCCAGCCGGUAUUAUCCCACAAUGGCUAGAGAGGUUCGAUCUGGGCCUAUGGGCUAUCCGUUUCGGCCUGACGAGGACGUCAGGAAUUUAAGUGGGGGAGUUUGUAACACCCCAGUCCCACAUCGAGAAGUGUGAAGACUUAAGUUCAGUUUAUAAGCAUAAAUACUACUCACCAACAAAUCAUGAUCUUUUGGGGGCCUGUGGUGGGCUUGUGGAUUACCCAAGUUGUUGCAGUUGGGCCAGUUUAUUUGGGCUUAUUUUAGGAUUCGGAUUUCGGGACUUGACCCGAUUUCGAAAAAGGCUCGGGAUUUGACCCGGGUUGUUUCAU
rnacentral:lncRNA from 1 species